UGGGGAAUAUUGGACAAUGGGCGCAAGCCUGAUCCAGCCAUGCCGCGUGUGUGAAGAAGGCCUUUUGGUUGUAAAGCACUUUAAGCGAGGAGGAGGCUACUUGGAUUAAUACUCUAGGAAAGUGGACGUUACUCGCAGAAUAAGCACCGGCUAACUCUGUGCCAGCAGCCGCGGUAAUACAGAGGGUGCGAGCGUUAAUCGGAUUUACUGGGCGUAAAGCGUGCGUAGGCGGCUUCUUAAGUCGGAUGUGAAAUCCCUGAGCUUAACUUAGGAAUUGCAUUCGAUACUGGGAAGCUAGAGUAUGGGAGAGGAUGGUAGAAUUCCAGGUGUAGCGGUGAAAUGCGUAGAGAUCUGGGGGAAUACCGAUGGCGAAGGCGGCAUCUGGCCUAAUACUGACGCUGAGGUACGAAAGCAUGGGGAGCAAACAGG
rnacentral:rRNA from 1 species